GAAUUGCGAUAUAGUAGUGUGAUUUGCAGAUUGUGUGAUACAUCGAGUACUUGAACGCAUUGCGCCUUGGGUUGCAAGAUCCAAGGCACAUUUGGAUGAGGGUCAGCUUACAUACUUGCCUUCUCCUGGAUUGGAUUCUAAAGAUCUGAUCUGGGUGGGGAGGUAUCUUGUUGGUUCGUCGGGCGCCGCCAUAUCGACUGACCGAUUAAAUACGGAGGGAAGCCGGUGGACUCGUACCAUCAGUGCCCUGCUACCUAUACGGAACCUCUGCGUGAGCUUCGGCGUCCGGAGGUGAAAUGUAGGAUUCAUAGUAGGUUCCCUUUUAAUUAGGACCCUGAGGCUAUAGCAGCUCAGGAUAUACCCUAUAUUUGACCUCAUCUCAAGUGUGACCACGCCCUAA
rnacentral:misc_RNA from 1 species